rnacentral:rRNA from 1 species
UGGGGAAUUGUUCGCAAUGGGCGCAAGCCUGACGACGCAACGCCGCGUGGAGGAUGAAGAUCUUCGGGUCGUAAACUCCUUUCGAUCGAGACGAACGACUUCCGGGUGAACAAUCCGGAAGAGUGACGGUACCGAGAGAAGAAGCCCCGGCUAACUCCGUGCCAGCAGCCGCGGUAAUACGGGGGGGGCAAGCGUUGUUCGGAAUUACUGGGCGUAAAGGGCUCGUAGGCGGCCAACUAAGUCAGACGUGAAAUCCCUCGGCUUAACCGGGGAACUGCGUCUGAUACUGGAUGGCUUGAGUUCGGGAGAGGGAUGCGGAAUUCCAGGUGUAGCGGUGAAAUGCGUAGAUAUCUGGAGGAACACCGGUGGCGAAGGCGGCAUCCUGGACCGACACUGACGCUGAGGAGCGAAAGCCAGGGGAGCAAACGGGAUUAGAUACCCGUGUAGUCC